AAGUCGUAACAAGGUCUCCGUUGGUGAACCAGCGGAGGGAUCAUUACCGAGUUUACAACUCCCAAACCCCUGUGAACAUACCAUUCUGUUGCCUCGGCGGAUCACCGCGCCCCGUAACACGGGACGGCCCGCCAGAGGACCCAAACUCUAUGUCUUUAUGUGUAUCCUCUGAGUAACACUAUAAAUAAAUCAAAACUUUCAACAACGGAUCUCUUGGUUCUG
rnacentral:misc_RNA from 1 species